AUUGAACGCUGGCGGCAGGCCUAACACAUGCAAGUCGAGCGGAUGAAGGGAGCUUGCUCCUGGAUUCAGCGGCGGACGGGUGAGUAAUGCCUAGGAAUCUGCCUGGUAGUGGGGGAUAACGUCCGGAAACGGGCGCUAAUACCGCAUACGUCCUGAGGGAGAAAGUGGGGGAUCUUCGGACCUCACGCUAUCAGAUGAGCCUAGGUCGGAUUAGCUAGUUGGUGGGGUAAAGGCCUACCAAGGCGACGAUCCGUAACUGGUCUGAGAGGAUGAUCAGUCACACUGGAACUGAGACACGGUCCAGACUCCUACGGGAGGCAGCAGUGGGGAAUAUUGGACAAUGGGCGAAAGCCUGAUCCAGCCAUGCCGCGUGUGUGAAGAAGGUCUUCUGAUUGUAAAGCACUUUAAGGUGGGAGGAAGGGCAGUAAGUUAUUACCUUGCUGUUUUGACGUUACCAACAGAAUAAGCACCGGCUAACUUCGUG
rnacentral:rRNA from 1 species